rnacentral:rRNA from 1 species
UAUGGUAAGUGCCAGCCGCCGCGGUAAUACGUAGGUGGCGAGCGUUGUCCGGAAUUAUUGGGCGUAAAGGGAGCGCAGGCGGGAGGUCAAGUCUAUCUUAAAAGUGCGGGGCUCAACCCCGUGAGGGGAUGGAAACUGGUCUUCUUGAGUGCAGGAGAGGAAAGCGGAAUUCCUAGUGUAGCGGUGAAAUGCGUAGAUAUUAGGAGGAACACCAGUGGCGAAGGCGGCUUUCUGGACUGUAACUGACGCUGAGGCUCGAAAGCGUGGGGAGCGAACAGG